rnacentral:rRNA from 1 species
GAGAUGGCACCGUCUGGGCGAAAGGGAGUCCGGUUCCUAUUCCGGAACCCGGCCGCGGAACCGCUCCAAUUCGGGCCCUCAUCCGAGGACUCGUCGGGGUGACCCGAAAUGACCCGGAGAAGCCGUAGGGAGGUCCGGGGAGAGUUGUCUCUUCUCUAUAAGCGUUCGAGUUCCCUGGAAGCCUCUAGGAGGGAGAUAGGGUUUGGAACGCGAAGAGCACCGCACUUACGGCGGUGUCCGGAUCUUCCCCUCGGACCUUGAAAAUCCGGGCGAGGGCCACGAGGAACACCGCGCCGGCUCGUACCCAUAUCCGCAGCAGGUCUCCAAGGUGAAUAGCCUCUAGUCGAUAGAAUAAUGUAGGUAAGGGAAGUCGGCAAACCCGAUCUGUAACUUCGGGAUAAGGAUUGGCUCUGAGGAUCGUGGCGCGCCGGGCUUGGUCGGGAAGUGGAGCGGUGCCAACGUGCCGGGCCUGGGCGAGGUGAAGGGCGCUCGUCGUCUGGACCCUAGCUCGGUCCCGUGCCUUGGCCACCCACGGACCUUCCUUGCUGCGAGCCUCCCGGCUGUCUAGUUUUCGGCCCAGCCGGAGUACGGGCCGGAAGGCUCUUCGGCCGCCAUAGAACGAUCAACUUAGAACUGGCACGGACCCGGGGAAUCCGACUGUCUAAUUAAAACAAAGCAUUGCGAUGGCCCUAAGGGGUGAUGACGCAAUGUGAUUUCUGCCCAGUGCUCUGAAUGUCAACGUGAAGAAAUUCAAGCAAGCGCGGGUAAAC